GAUGAACGCUGGCGGCGUGCCUAAUACAUGCAAGUCGAGCGAACAGACGAGGAGCUUGCUCCUCUGACGUUAGCGGCGGACGGGUGAGUAACACGUGGAUAACCUACCUUUAAGACUGGGAUAACUUCGGGAAACCGGAGCUAAUACCGGAUAAUAUAUUGAACCGCAUGGUUCAAUAGUGAAAGACGGUUUUGCUGUCACUUAUAGAUGGAUCCGCGCCGUAUUAGCUAGUUGGUAAGGUAACGGCUUACCAAGGCAACGAUGCGUAGCCGACCUGAGAGGGUGAUCGGCCACACUGGAACUGAGACACGGUCCAGACUCCUACGGGAGGCAGCAGUAGGGAAUCUUCCGCAAAGGGCGAAAGCUUGACGGAGCAACGCCGCGUGAGUGAUGAAGGUCUUCGGAUCGUAAAACUCUGUUAUUAGGGAAGAACAAAUGUGUAAGUAACUAUGCACGUCUUGACGGUACCUAAUCAGAAAGCCACGGCUAACUACGUG
rnacentral:rRNA from 1 species